CGUUUGACAAUGUUACAGAACACUGCAUGUGUUAUAACAUUGAGGGUGUUAUAACACAAUGCACGGUUCAAACGAUAAGCUUUCCGCGAGUCUUAUAAUCUUCAAAGAGUUGUUCACUUAACAUACAUGUUCAAUCAUGUACAGUCAUGGAUAUCAAUGUUUUAGCAUGAUAAAACUAUUACAAUGCGAAAGCACGAUCUCCAUAAUCACUUGCCAUGAUAUUGUUGUUGCAUUUUUAUAGACAUGUCGAGCGUACGGACAGUGAAAGAACGCGAACCCUGGCAGUGGUACAAGAGAUGAAGAUCAAGAAGAAGAUAGAGGAGUACGUUAUUAUUUUUUCCUGUCCUAAUCUUAACUUGUUUUUAGAUUUUUCGUUUAGAUGAGGAGGAGGCUGAUGAAAA